rnacentral:misc_RNA from 1 species
GAACGCACCUUGCACCCUUUGGCAUUCCGAAGGGUAUGCUCGUUUGAGUGUCAUUGUACUCUCACACUCCCAGUUUUUGGAUUGGGAGCGGUGGACUUGGGUGUUGCUGCUUUGCUGUGGCUCGCCUCAAAUGGAGUAGUGCAACUCUCGGUUGGACAUAGUACGGCGUGAUAAGUAUCUUCGCCGGCGCCUCACUCGAGGGUGGCCGAUCGGGAGCUCUGUGCUUCGAACCGUCUUCGGACACUCUCUGACAACUUGACCUCAAAUCGAGUAGGACUACCCGCUGAACUUAAG